rnacentral:tRNA from 1 species
CCUUCGAUAGCUCAGUUGGUAGAGCGGUGGACUGUAGAAAUGAUCAACGCCUUCCUCUCAAAAGGGAAUCAAAUGCGCAGUUAUCCAUAGGUCACUGGUUCAAAUCCGGUUCGAAGGA